UACGGGGGGGGCAAGCGUUGUUCGGAAUUACUGGGCGUAAAGCGUGCGCAGGCGGCUUUGUAAGACAGAUGUGAAAUCCCCGGGCUUAACCUGGGAACUGCAUUUGUGACUGCAUGGCUGGAGUGCGGCAGAGGGGGAUGGAAUUCCGCGUGUAGCAGUGAAAUGCGUAGAUAUGCGGAGGAACACCGAUGGCGAAGGCGAUCCCCUGGGCCUGCACUGACGCUCAUGCACGAAAGCGUGGGGAGCAAACAGG
rnacentral:rRNA from 1 species